CUAGAACUUGAAUGGGAAGAAGAGGGGGCUUUUGUCCGACUUGAUCCCUGGCUAUUUUGGAGCUCAGGUGUUUCGGUGAGUGUGUGAAGAUGAUUCAAGUGAAGUGUGACUGGUUCUGCGAGCGAAGAGGGGAUCAGCAAUAAACGGUGAUGACAAGCAAUCCAUAUUCAGAGAAUGAAGGUUGUUCUAGAAUGAAACAGGAAACCAAUGAAUAGCUGAAAUACUGGCACAAAAAUUAGUUUUGCCUAAUGGAAAACAAUUAACAGCACUUGAAUAAAUGCAAGAGGACAGAAGAUGUAAGCCCCAUGAUUGUUUCUUACUGGUAUUGCCCACCUUUCUGCCUCAGACAGUCACAACGGUGUUGAAGGAAUCCCUCCAUGAUUUGGCCUCCCAUCAAGUCAUUAGGCAUUUGUUUUAUUUACUUAACAAUCUUACAAUGGUAGGAAGAGGGCCACAGUUUAAAUGGAGGGAUCUUUGUGCAUAUUUGAAACUGAGAUUAAUAAAGUAACUUUGGUUUUAAAUUAAUCAAUAUAAAUAAUUAAAUAACAAGUAUUAACUACUGUGAGGUGGGGUCAAAAUCAGGCAGGAAUAAUGCAAAUAUGCAGCUCUGUUAUAAAAAAACAAAACAAAAUUAGGUACAAUGAAUAAAUAAUAUUACAGGACAUAGCAUUGGCAUAUUCUGAAAACAAAAACUUCAUCUCUGAAAUGCUGCAUUGAAACAAAAGAAGACCAGGUCCAAAUCCACAGUAUUAGUCAAAUAAAUAAGAGGUGAGUACGCAAGUCAGAGUUGUGAAAUAAAUAUAGUAAAACACAAUAUAAAAGUUUUUACAAUACAGAUAUUGUCCACUGAAAGAUGUUAAUAAGUAAAACACCACAAAAACAUACCAUUCUUAGUUAGUAACAAUUACUUGUUAUAACUAUAUACUGUAUGACAGGUGCUUGCUCCAGAUGUUCAUAACCUAUGAAUUAUAAAAGGCCACUACAGUAAAACAUAUAAUAUUUCAUUAAGUAUAUAGUGUAGCAGGAUAAGUUGCACAGCUGGAGAGAAAAGAAGGAAAUGAGAGGGAGUACUUCCAAGUAAGUAUUUAGUUUUGUUUUAUUGCCAUAUGUAACCAUUAAUUACAAAUUUUCACUUCCAGAAGUUAACUAAUCUUUCCGUUAUGGCCACAGCAAUGCAUUGGUUUUUGCCUUUUCAUUUCUGGUUAUUGACAAGAGUAGGAAGUUGAUUGGCAAAGCUGUGGAGAUUCACAAAAGACAGCGGAUAAAUUAAAAAGCACAUGGAGUUUAAAGCCUGUAUUUGCUAUAGUGCUGUACAGAUUAGCAGAUUUUAUGCAAAUCCUAUUUUAUCUGUCUACUGUAUCUAUCUAUUGUUACAUGUUUUUAUUGGACAGCAUGAUGGUGUGGUGUUUACUCUGCCACUUUAGUGCCCCAAGGACUCAUGUUUGUUUCAAGGUCCAAACACUGUUUGUGAAGAGUAACAUUUGGUAAACAUAUCUUCACGCUGUAUGUGCGAGUUUCCUUCUCAGAUACAUGCAUGUAGAUUAACUGUUAAGUCUAAAUUAACAGAACUUGAAUAAGUGUAUUAGUAGUUUGUGCAGUGUGUCACAUUUGUUCUUACACUCGACAAGUUUUUCCUGAGAAGGAAUUUAGCUUUUUUUACCCUGUAGUGGACAAACAGGGAAAAAAUCUAUUUCUCUAGCAUAAAAAUGCGUUCAUAAAAUAAUUUUUAGAAAUGGUUACUGUUUAAUUAUUUAUUCUUCAACCAGCUCUGCAAUGGUAAGAUGAUAACUCUAAAAUGUAUUUCUCAAUAAUUUCUCUGAUAACUCAGUCUCUGGCAUCUUAAUCUAACUAUAUUGCUAGUCAAUAUAUAACAAUUUCUUCAUUUAAUCAUUAAAUACAGCCCCAUGCCCAUAACAAUUGUAGGCCUGGUAUAGCCCCGGGCUUUUAAACCAAUAGUUGUCAUGUUUGCCACUUAAUGAAGGAGCAAAUCAAGUCACUUUAGCAGGCUGGUCAAUUUGGGUAGAUGGGUUCUGUAUUGUGCCCAUGGACUUACUGGUAUUUCCUCGCUAUGCACAUAUGCCUAGCUAGAUAAAAUUGGCAUGCCAAUCCAUUUUCAAUUGGAGAAUCGAGAGCAAGUCUUUCCUGGAAGGUGGCACUAGUUAUGAUAUUACUCUUUAUCACAGAAGUGACUAUUUUGUAGUUUAAAAGUUUCUGUUGGGAUGUACAGAAAAUAAUUCUUUACUAGCAUGGUAGGUAGGGUAAGUCUUUGGAGCCAGUUGAGCUGUUGACUGUUUUGGGAAGACAGCGAUUUUCUGUACAUUUAAGGUAGGUGUUAUUUUUAGUUUUCUUUUCAUAAACCAGUUUGUAUCCUCUGUUUUCCUUCUAGUGUUCUCUUUUUAAUUUGCAUUUUAUUGUUUCUUUUUAAAUAAAUUCAUCCCAUUCUAAAA